rnacentral:rRNA from 1 species
UACAGAGGUCCCAAGCGUUGUUCGGAUUCACUGGGCGUAAAGGGUGCGUAGGCGGUCGGGUAAGUCUGGCGUGAAAUCUCCGAGCCUAACUCGGAAACUGCGUUGGAUACUAUCCGGCUAGAGGAAUGGAGGGGAGACUGGAAUGCUUGGUGUAGCAGUGAAAUGCGUAGAUAUCAAGCGGAACACCAGUGGCGAAGGCGAGUCUCUGGACAUUUCCUGACGCUGAGGCACGAAAGCCAGGGGAGCAAACGGG